rnacentral:pre_miRNA from 1 species
GGGGCGUGCCAGCUCCGUUCGCCGGAGAAGCUUACUGCGGACCAACGCCGUGUGCUUCCUCGUCGAACGGUGGCGACCACGCUGC